AAUUAGAUGUAUGAUUUGUUAAAAAAAACGUUUUAUCUUUAUUUAAUCAACCUUUUAUAUGAUAUUAAGAUAAACAUUUAUUUAAAGUGCCAUUGAUUUGUAGAAUAGAGCAUGUUUGAAUCUUUUAAACAUGAGUGAGUUCAUUACAAAGAAUUUAAAGUUAAAGAAUAUUACAUUUAAUUUGUUUAAUAGAGUUAUAUUAACAUAUAAUAUUUUAUUCCAAUUGCUGUUGUAUAUGCUAAUGGAAUGUAUGUUACAAAGUAAAUGUUAUUUUUAGUGAUGAGAAGGUAUUUCACUAUGGUUUAUUUUAACAAUAUAAAUAAAUUAUUACAUUGUGAGUUACUGUAUGACAAGAGUAUAAAGAUUGUUUGGGAAGGAGUGGGUUUGAGGGGGUGGAUGUUAGCCAGAUGUGGGUGUGGUGCAAGGAGUGGAUGGGGGUGUGCCAACCAGGUGUGGGUGUGGUGGAAGGAGUGGACGGGGGUGUGUCAACCAGGUGUGGGAGUGGCAGAUUUCUAGUCAAAAGCUGGUGUUGGUCAACUGGUCAGAUUAGUCAGUUGCUUUUGGAGGGAAGGUGCACUGCGAAUUUCUCCUGCUGUUGCUGAAGGGAUUUUAUCAGAGACAACUUCCAACUUCCAGACUACUCUUCCAACACUCUUUAUCCAAGGUAUGUGAUCUUUGUUUUGGCUGUAUGGUUUAAUUACAAUUAUUCUAAAUUUGUUCUAAAUUAGUAGUGGGUUCUUUGCUGUUGCUCUGCUGGUAUUAUUGUAGUUCAGAAGACAUUAUGUAAUAAAGGUUAAUUUUUUUGUUGAUAAAUUGUUUAAAAUUAAUUAUUUUUUAUUAUCAUAUAACAGGGAUUUCUGCUGCUGCUGAAGUAAUAUCCCCAGUGACAACUUUAAUCUACAAAGAGUCUAAGUGCAAGAUGCCACGGAAAAAGUCAUUCAGAAUGAGGCGUGCGCCCAAGACUGUGAGUACUGUGGUUGAUGUGCAGUGCUGCUGCGAUUCUAAAUUAGUUGGUGGAUUGGUGUGUGGUACCAAGCAUUUCAGGUUGCUCGACAGAAACAAUGAAAGAACAGAGAUUUGUAGUGUUUUAGGUCUUAUUAGGCAUAAAGUGUCAAAUGUGUGUACUUGGAAGGCUGGUGUGAUGGAUUCAAUUUGUGAUGAAGGAAGGAUACUUUUGGAGGAGAGGAAACCUACAAAGGGUUUGGCUGGUAGAUAUAAUGCUUUCAGCAGAGUGGCUGAU